rnacentral:lncRNA from 1 species
GGGGCAACAAACUGAUGGUGACGCCUGUAACUGUCUGGCAGUGGGCUGCCCAUAGUCAGAAAAAGUUUGUUGCGGAGAGUAGUGGGGUGGACCCGUGGCUAUUACCGGGGCAUGCCACAUGGAGUCUGCCACGAGAAGCGGAGCGGCGUCCGUUGUCGCGACUUGCCAGAGGAUAGAAGAAUCGCACGGUAUCCAUCGCAGGAAGUGGAGCAGGACCGUGGCCA